rnacentral:rRNA from 1 species
UACGGAGGGUGCAAGCGUUAUCCGGAUUCACUGGGUUUAAAGGGUGCGUAGGUGGGUCUGUAAGUCAGUGGUGAAAUCCCCGAGCUUAACUUGGGAAUUGCGCUCGAAACUACGUGGCUCGAGUGUGGCAGAGGAAGGUGGAAUUCCACGUGUAGCGGUGAAAUGCGUAGAGAUGUGGAGGAACACUGAUGGCGAAGGCAGCCUUCUGGGCCAACACUGACGCUCAUGCACGAAAGCGUGGGGAGCAAACAGG